AGUGGCGGGGGAGCGACUAACCGGCCUUAAAUGGUACGGAGGAAGUUCUGCCCACCGAUGAAUUUGCGCGCCUUAUAAAAAGGGCGCGGCUUAGAAGCCCCGAAGCGCUUAAGGCGCAAUCGGAAACAGAAACGAUACCUGCCCCCUUUGAUGAGGAUGAGGAAACGCACUAAAAUGCGCGACGAGAGAAGGGAGGCUUGCUGAAACGGUCCGUGCGGGCAAUCGCGAAAGCGGCUCUGCUGCAUGAAAAUGCAGGGGGCAAAAUGUGCGGUGCAAGGCUUUAUGCCGCUCAGUCCAAUGUCGCUUAGAAACAGAAGGCAGGCUACCACCUGCCACU
rnacentral:RNase_P_RNA from 1 species